rnacentral:ncRNA from 7 species
CUUGGACUACAUAUGGUUGAGGGUUGUA